UACGUAGGGGGCAAGCGUUGUCCGGAUUUACUGGGCGUAAAGAGCGUGUAGGCGGCCACGCAGGUCCGUUGUGAAAACUGGAGGCUCAACCUCCAGCUGUCGACGGAAACCGUGUGGCUAGAGUCCGGAAGAGGAGAGUGGAAUUCCUGGUGUAGCGGUGAAAUGUGCAGAUAUCAGGAAGAACACCAAUGGCGAAGGCAGCUCUCUGGGACGGUACUGACGCUGAGACGCGAAAGCGUGGGGAGCGAACAGG
rnacentral:rRNA from 1 species